rnacentral:rRNA from 1 species
UACGUAGGGGGCUAGCGUUGUCCGGAAUCAUUGGGCGUAAAGAGCGCGUAGGCGGCCCGGUAAGUCCGCUGUAAAAGUCAAAGGCUCAACCUUUGAAUGUCAGUGGAUACUGCCGGGCUAGAGUCCGGAAGGGGCGAGUGGAACUCCUGGUGUAGCGGUGGAAUGCGCAGAUAUCAGGAAGAACACCAACGGCGAAGGCAGCUCGCUGGGACGGUACUGACGCUGAGACGCGAAAGCGUGGGGAGCGAACAGG